GGGAGAGGAUAGCGGAAUUCCCGGUGUAGCGGUGAAAUGCGUAGAGAUCGGGAGGAACACCAGUGGCGAAGGCGGCUAUCUGGACCUAGACUGACACUGAGGCGCGAAAGCGUGGGGAGCAAACAGGAUUAGAUACCCUGGUAGUCCACGCUGUAAACGAUGGAUGCUAGGUGUAGGAGGUAUCGACCCCUUCUGUGCCGGAGCAAACGCAAUAAGCAUCCCGCCUGGGGAGUACGGCCGCGAGGUUGAAACUC
rnacentral:rRNA from 1 species